rnacentral:rRNA from 1 species
AACAUCGCUCUUUGAAAAAAUAAUUAUAAAGAGUACUGCCUGCCCAGUGAUAAAAUUUAAACGGCCGCGGUAUUUUGACCGUGCAAAGGUAGCAUAAUCAUUUGUUCUUUAAUUGAGGACUAGUAUGAAAGGCAAAACGAAAGCUUAACUGUCUCCUUUUUAAAAAAUGAAAUUAGUAUUUUUGUGAAGAAACAAAAAUAAUAAAGUAAGACGAGAAGACCCUGUCGAGCUUAAGAAAAUUUUUAUAAUAAUAUUUUAACAAGAUAAACAAAACUUUACUAUAAAAAUAAAAUAAAAAUAUCUUUGGUUGGGGCAACCACGAAGAAAAAAAAACCUUCGUUUUUAAAGAAAAAUUUACAAAUUUAAAAAUUAUUAAAAAUUUAAAAGAUCCAGAAAAUUCUGAUCAAAGGAAAAAGUUACCGCAGGGAUAACAGCGUUAUUCUCUUUAAGAGCUCUUAUUGACAAGAGAGUUUGCGACCUCGAUGUUGGACCGGGGCACCCAAGAGGUGUAACAGCCUCUAAAGGUAGGUCUGUUCGACCUUUAAAGCCCUACGUGAU